CUGGGGACCCAGAAGAAGUUCCGCACUGCGCCUGCGCCACGCAGACUCCGCGCCUGCCCCGCGCCUCCCGGUCGGUGACUACGCUACGGCGAUGGCGCCCGGCAGUUUCCUGAAUAAACAUCAACGGAUAAUCCAACUGAUGGCUGCCUUCGCAGAGAGAGUUGCUGUAUGGCUUUCAUCGUAUUAGACUCCUGGAUAAACGCAACAGAAGUCAACCUGAAAUUGAAGAGUCUCCUAUUAACAACCCUUGAUUCUUUCUUGCUUACUUGCUUAUAGCCCUCGUUGGCCGCUGGCCUAGAACUCACUAUGUAGACUAAGUUGGUCCUUUCCUCCCAGGGAUCUGUCUGCCUCUGCCUCCUGGCCACUGAGAUUAAAGUUAUGUCCAGCAACAACCCGGCAAUUCUAACACUCCAGAACUAUUAUUUGGGGCCAGAAGGAGGCCUACACAGGCAAGGAUGCUCCUUCCACGUCCAGUGUACUAGCAAAAGAUGCCCUAACUUCCGCAGGAGGGUGGGUGGAUGCACACUGCUUUUUCAAAGUGUAGUGCCCAACCAAGUAAAUCACUCAGAUGCAAUCGAAGUGUCUCAAAAUUGCAAUAAGGAGUAAAAAU
ensembl:lncRNA